CAGUAGCCGCGGGAAUACGAAGGGGGCUAGCGUUGUUCGGAAUUACUGGGCGUAAAGCGCACGUAGGCGGACAUUUAAGUCAGGGGUGAAAUCCCGGGGCUCAACCCCGGAACUGCCUUUGAUACUGGGUGUCUUGAGUGUGGAAGAGGUCAGUGGAAUUGCGAGUGUAGAGGUGAAAUUCGUAGAUAUUCGCAGGAACACCAGUGGCGAAGGCGGCUGACUGGUCCACAACUGACGCUGAGGUGCGAAAGCGUGGGGAGCAAACAGGAUUAGAUACCCCCGUAGUCCCUGUCUCUUAUAC
rnacentral:rRNA from 1 species